rnacentral:misc_RNA from 1 species
AGCAGCCGCGGUAAUUCCAGCUCCAAUAGCGUAUAUUAAAGUUGUUGCAGUUAAAAAGCUCGUAGUUGAAUUUCGGGAUCAGUAUGUUGGUCGUGCUUCGGUACGUACUGUCAUUACUGGUUUCUACCUUCUGAAGAACCUUGAUGUCAUUAAUUUGGUGUCUUGGGGAAUCAGGACUGUUACUUUGAAAAAAUUAGAGUGUUUAAAGCAAGCAUACGCUUGAAUACAUUAGCAUGGAAUAAUGAAAUAGGACGUUUGAUUCUAUUUUGUUGGUUUCUAGGAUCGACGUAAUGAUUAAUAGGGAUAGUUGGGGGCAUUAGUAUUCAAUUGUCAGAGGUGAAAUUCUUGGAUUUAUUGAAGACUAACUACUGCGAAAAGCAUUUGCCAAGGAUGUUUUCAUUAAUCAAGAACGAAAGUUAGGGGAUCGAAGACGAUCAGAUACCGUCGUAGUCUUAACCAUAAACUAUGCCGACUAGGGAUCGGGAUGAUGUUAUUUUAAUGACUCAUUCGGCGCCUUAAC